UGAUUUUAAGUAUUAGGAAUAGGGCCCCACCACCACACCAACACACUUUUAAAUAAUAAGACGUUCAUAUUUAAUCUACCUGGAGUCAUUGGGAAGUGAGUCAUUUCCUGUCCUCUUUAUAGCCUUGAAGAUUUCAUAUGUCUUCUUAAGAAACUCAUGUACUUUGGGGUGCCCAUGUUACAUGGUGAGUAAGAUAUUUUACACAUUUUUGUACGAUUAAAAUAAUGUGUGUACUUUAUAAGUAAGCUGUAGUUUUCAAACAAAAUCUAGCUAAACUCCUACCACAAAUGUAACAGGCAUAUAAAAUU
rnacentral:lncRNA from 1 species